rnacentral:rRNA from 1 species
UACGUAGGGUGCGAGCGUUAAUCGGAAUUACUGGGCGUAAAGCGUGCGCAGGCGGUUCGUUAAGUUCGUUGUGAAAGCCCCGGGCUCAACCUGGGAACUGCAAUGGAAACUGGCGGGCUUGAGUAUGGCAGAGGGGGGUGGAAUUCCGCGUGUAGCAGUGAAAUGCGUAGAGAUGCGGCGGAACACCGAUGGCGAAGGCAGCCCCCUGGGCUGAGAUUGACGCUCAGGCACGAAAGCGUGGGGAGCAAACAGG